UACGAAGGGGGCUAGCGUUGCUCGGAAUUACUGGGCGUAAAGGGAGCGUAGGCGGACAUUUAAGUCAGGGGUGAAAUCCCAGAGCUCAACUCUGGAACUGCCUUUAAUACUGGGAAUCUUGAGUUCGGAAGAGGUGAGUGGAACUGCGAGUGUAGCGGUGGAAUGCGUAGAGAUCCGGAAGAACACCGGUGGCGAAGGCGGUCUGCUGGGGUCGAACUGACGCUGAGGCGCGACAGCGUGGGGAGCAAACAGG
rnacentral:rRNA from 1 species